rnacentral:rRNA from 1 species
GUGGGGAAUAUUGGACAAUGGGGGGAACCCUGAUCCAGCCAUGCCGCGUGUGUGAAGAAGGCCUUUUGGUUGUAAAGCACUUUAAGCGAGGAGGAGGCUACCGAGAUUAAUACUCUUGGAUAGUGGACGUUACUCGCAGAAUAAGCACCGGCUAACUCUGUGCCAGCAGCCGCGGUAAUACAGAGGGUGCAAGCGUUAAUCGGAUUUACUGGGCGUAAAGCGCGCGUAGGUGGCCAAUUAAGUCAAAUGUGAAAUCCCAGAGCUUAACUUGGGAAGUGCAUUCGAUACUGGUUGGCUAGAGUAUGGGAGAGGAUGGUAGAAUUACAGGUGUAGCGGUGAAAUGCGUAGAGAUCUGGAGGAAUACCGAUGGCGAAGGCAGCCAUCUGGCCUAAUACUGACACUGAGGUGCGAAAGCAUGGGGAGCAAACAGGAUUAGAAACCCGAGUAGUCC